AAGAGAAUUUAUUCCGAGGAGGGAAAACGAAAAUAGAGACAACGGAAGAGGAAACUAUGAACAAAGAAAUCGGCAAUGGAACGAAGACAGAUAUCGAGAAAACCAGAAUAGAAA
rnacentral:lncRNA from 1 species